AGAGUUUGAUCCUGGCUCAGAGCGAACGCUGGCGGCGUGCUUAACACAUGCAAGUCGAACGCGCAGCAUUCUGUAGCAAUACAGGGUGUGGGCGCGUGGCGAACGGGUGCGUAACACGUGGAUAACCUUCCUUCAGGUGGGGAAUAACCCAGUGAAAAUUGGGCUAAUACCGCAUAACAUGACGAUGCCACAUGGUGUUGUCUUCAAAGCCGCAAGGCGCCAGAAGAGGGAUCCGCGGCCGAUUAGCUUGUUGGCGAGGUAAUGGCUCACCAAGGCAUUGAUCGGUAGCCGGACUGAGAGGUUGGCCGGCCACACUGGAACUGAGACACGGUCCAGACUCCUACGGGAGGCAGCAGUGGGGAAUCUUGCACAAUGGACGAAAGUCUGACGCAGCAACGCCGCGUGGGGGAUGAAGCUUUUCGGAGUGUAAACCCCUUUCGACCCGGAAGAAUGCCCGCAAGGGCUUGACGGUACGGGUAUAAGAAGCCCCGGCUAACUACGUGCCAGCAGCCGCGGUAAUACGUAGGGGGCCAGCGUUGCUCGGAAUUACUGGGCGUAAAGGGUCCGUAGGCGGUGUGGCAAGUCGGGAGUGAAAUCUCUGGGCUUAACCCAGAGGCUGCUUCCGAAACUGCCAUGCUAGAGUGUGAGAGAGGCGAGUGGAAUUACGGGUGUAGCGGUGAAAUGCGUAGAUAUCCGUAGGAACAUCCGAGGCGAAGGCGGCUCGCUGGAUCACAACUGACGCUGAGGGACGAAAGCUAGGGGAGCAAACAGGAUUAGAUACCCUGGUAGUCCUAGCCCUAAACCAUCAGACUUGGGGUGUGCCCUGUACGGGGCACGUCCCGUAGCUAACGCGUUAAGUCCUGCGCCUGGGGAGUACGGUCGCAAGGCUGAAACUCAAAGGAAUUGACGGGGGCCCGCACAAGCGGUGGAACAUGUGCUUCAAUUCGACGCAACGCGAAGAACCUUACCUGGGCUUGAACCGCACAGGACCAUC
rnacentral:rRNA from 1 species